UGCCUCAUGCAUCCCUCACCAAGCUUAACAGUUUACAAAUGGGAAAUCCACAACAUUGGUCAAGAAGAAAAGGCACCAUGAAUGGGAAGACCGAAGUGCAGACAACCAGCUGGAACAAGGGUGAAAAUAUAGGAGAUUACGAUCCAUUCCUGGGUGGACGGCCAGCGUUCCAUCUUCACUAACACGAUAUAGUUGAAGAGCAUCAGGUAUCCGAUAUACGCCAGCUGUAAGGAGACACAAUACAGUGCUCUGGCUGUUCAGGCCCAGGAGCCCCAGCAUCAGCCAAGGCCACUGCACAGCAGCACAGAGCAGGGUCAGCAAGCAGGACACAGACUUUAUGACAAAAGGAACUUGAAGGUGCUAAACUAACAAAAGAAUUAGAAAAGACAGUAAUACUUGAAGGAUUAUAAUAUGCAAUCUUCCUUUUGACCUGUACAUGUAUCUCUGGGGCUCUGGUGCUUCGUUUAAAUCUAUGUGUCAUGAUGCAUCAUUUCGCCUUGCAGUUACCCAUUUUUGUGUGUUUUCUUGGCUAAAAAGGGAGCCUUGGCUGUCAGUGGCGGCUCUUGCUCAGGCGUGGACCUUAGGUUCUUAAACUAGGGCAGCACAGUGGAUUUUUGCCUCACGAAUGCCAGGCAGAAUAAGUGUCUGUGAGAAGCAAAGGAAGAGGAAGACACAUGUAACACCUGUAAAUUGGUCAAACCAACAUAAAAAUAGCCCAGGCUUAAAGUGCUUCGCUUGUCAGUGCCCUGGGAGGGUCUUACCUGUUUUCAUUUCACCACUUUCCUGUCCUAAUCAAGUUAAGAUAAGAUAUUCCUUCCUGGUGUCUGCUUCAUUGAAACAACACAAGAAAAGACAACACAGUUUACAGAAAGGAAAGGGUCCGUGUGGCCUUUUGUGGACGGGUGUGGGGUUUAAUCCCCAAGAGGCUCUGGCUCGUGGGGUUGAAUCCUGAUGUGACUGGCUGAAUUGCUGGAUGUCUGGGAAGAACUCCCUAGGGUUUGGUGACUGCUCCUGGAAGAUUCAGUUGUGUCAAGGUGAGUGAAGUGCAGGGAAACUGGUGGCUCUUGCAUAAGGGGCUGAGGAGCCUUGAGAGAAGACUCACUCACCUUAAGGGAAAUGGCAGACUAGCUGGGCCUUCCUUACACAAUGCCUCAAGUCAAGUGAGGUACUCACUGGCCUUAGGGGCCUCAGGGGCUGUGAGCAGGAACCAAGAGGGAGUUUAUUAACUAAAAUCUGCUGCACUCUUCAGAGUGGUGUAGCAAAGAAUAGACACAGUGUGGGUGAAAGGAUUGAGGCCUUGAGGGGUCUGGAGGUACUGCAUGACUUUGUAGCUGGGAAGGCAGCUUAGAAGGUGGAGGAAGCUGCAGCCUUGCUGGGGGAUAUGCUGCUUUCUCUACUAAUUCUCUUAUGUUUUGGGACAGGGUCUCACUCUCGUCACCCAGGCUGGAGUGCAGUGGCAUUGUGAUCUCGGCUCAUUGUAGCAUUGACUUCCUGGGCUCAGCCACUUCACACCUUGAAUUUGAAUCCUCUCCAGAUGGAUACCUGAAAUAGGCUCUCAAAACAAGCAGGGUCUAGGAGCCAGUUGGACCCCUGCCUCCUUUCUUCUUGGACCAGAAGAGGACCCAAUCUGCUCCUAGAGAAACUUGCUACGAUGCAGAAGUGAGGUUAUAUGGAAAUGAAGUGUGUCCUACCUUUCAGAAACUUGGGAGAGUAGGAGAGACCAUUUUUGAAAAUCUGGUGAGAAAUACUCUUACAGAGAAAAACACAGCCCAAAGCACAUGGGACCUUCAAUCUGAAAUUGAAUUGUACUGUUAAGCAUGUCUGGUGAUUCAAAAGACUGGCAUACCUUAUUUCCAGUCACUUCCUCGAGGCCUGGGCUUUGUCAAUAUGUGAAGAUGAAUUUUGGAGAAUCAUGUAAACACAAUUGAACAGAUCUGGGGGAUCCAGUCUGAUGGGUUUGCUGAGGCCAAUCCAGUCAGCCACGCAGAAGUGUGCUGGACACACAGGCCCCACCACCCCCCGCCAAAGAGGCAGCCUCCCAACAAGCUGCCAAUGACAUAAGCAAAGCAGCGUGUCUCAAGUGUCUCCAAUCAUAAGAUUCGCCUGGGAAGCUGGUUAAACUAACACAGCCUCUUAGGCUCCUUCCUGAAGACUGGAUUCCAUGGGUCUAUGAUGGGGCUAGAAAUUUGCAUUUCUAACAAAACUCCCUUGUCAUCAUGGACGUUUUAGAGAUAUUGAUACUAUUAUUUCUACUGAUUUCUGCUCUCGGGAGUCUGUAAACUUUUUCUGCAAAUGGCCAACUGGUUAACUUUUAAGGCUUUGUAGAACCGAUAGUCUCUCUCUGUCUCUCACUACUCAUCAACUUGAUGUGGUAGCACAAAAGCAGUCAGUCAGCCUAUUGCUAAUGGUAAAUGAGAUUUAGCCUAAAGCUGCCUCCUUAAGUUCGGCCUGAAGUUUUCUCUGUACAUUGUGAACUAUAACAAAUGAAGGUGUAACAAGACCAAUCACCGAGUUUCGGUCAAUCAAAUGUAGCCAACUGCUCAAACUGUGUUCAAAUAAGGCAAACGCUGAGCUGUAACCAAUCCAGCUGUUUCUGUACCUCACUUCCGUUUUCUGUAUGCCACUUCCCUUUUUCUGUCCAUAAAUCUUCCACCACGUGGCCCUGCCAGAGUCUCUGAGCCUACUCUGGCUUGGAAGACUGCCCAAUUCACGAAUCGUUCAUUUGCUCAAUUAAACUCCUUUAAAUUUAUUCGGCUCAAGUUUUUCUUUUAACAGAAAUCAAGAGUCUGCCUGUGUUCCAAUUAUUUAUGGACACUAAAAUUUGAAUAUGUGUUUCAAGUAUUCCUUUUCAAAUUUUAUUAAAAAUGUAAAAACCAUUCUCAGUUCGCAGGCCACAAUCACAGGCCAUGGGUUGAAUUUGGCUCAAAAGCUGUAGUUUGCCAAGCCCUGUUCUAAGCUAACAGUUGGGGAAUCAUAAUAUAAAAGGAAGGACAGACCUGGGUGUGAAAUAGCUGCAAAAAUAUUAUCUCGGGCUGGGCGCAGUGGUUAUUGCCUGUAAUCCCAGCACUUUGGUAGGCUGAGGCAGGCCCAUAGCUUGAGGCCAGCAGUUCAAGACCAGCCUGGCCAACGUGGCAAAACCCCAUCUCUACUAAAAAUACAAAAAUUAAUUAGCCAGGUGUGGUGGUGAACACCUGUAAUCCCAGCUACUCGGGAGGCUGAGACAUGAGACUCACUUGAAUCCAGGAGAUGGAGGUUGCAGUGAGCCAAGAUUGUACCACUGCACUCCAGCCUAGGUGACAGAGUAAGAGUUUGUCUCCUAAAUAAAUAAAUAUUAUCUUGAUAAAAUAGUUGUUAGGAUUACAAAGAGUACUUAAAUAAUAGUACCUAGAACAUUGCCUCAAACUUAGUAGGUGCUCAAUAAAAGAAAGAUAUUAUUUUUGUUGAGUGGAUGUAUGAACACAACACUGAUUAUCUAUUGCUGGGCAACGUGAAUAGCCUAGAAGAAACAAUAGUCACAGUUACAUUGUACUUAUAUGUCAAGGAACUGUUCUAAGUGCUUUACAUGUUUUAACACAUUUAAUCUUGAUUAAAUCCUAUAAAAUCGGAACUACUAUUAUUGGCAUCUUAAGAAAACUGUGGACAGAAGGGGAAAUUAAGUUGUUUGAGGGCACAUGGUAAGAGGUGCAGAUGGGAUUCCCACCCAGGCUGUCUGAUUCCAAAGUCCAUGCUUGUCACCACUAAGCUGUUUUCUGCAAGGUUAAAAAUAAUAUAGAGC
rnacentral:lncRNA from 1 species